GGAUGCCAUCCCGUAUGACCAGCAACACCCUGAGGGACCAUAUGGCCUUCUCUAAAAGCAAGACAGAAUGGAUGCAUUUGCCUCCUGGUUCCUGCCUGGAGUUUGUAAACAGGACUUUUCUCCCUUGUGCUGAACCAAUCCUGGGAUUCUUAAGGCAUUCUCAGUUGGGGCCUGCAAGACACACCAAAAGACUCCUCCAAGUCGUGUAAGGGAGAAAACGAAACACUCCACUGGCCUCUAUCAGGGGAAGUUAAUUUUUCCCCUUUUCUGCACAUUUUCCAAACUCUAUAACUCUAAUUUGCAGUACAGAAAAUAAGCUUUUAUAUUUAUUAUUUU
rnacentral:lncRNA from 1 species